GACAGAGGGUGCAAACGUUGCUCGGAAUUACUGGGCGUAAAGCGCGUGUAGGCGGGUUGGUAAGUCAGACGUGAAAUCCCCGAGCUCAACUCGGGAACUGCAUUUGAAACUGCCAGCCUAGAGUGAUGGAGAGGGUAGCGGAAUUCCUGGUGUAGAAGUGAAAUUCGUAGAUAUCAGGAGGAACACCGGUGGCGAAGGCGACUACCUGGACAUUAACUGACGCUGAGACGCGAAAGCGUGGGGAGCAAACAGG
rnacentral:rRNA from 1 species